rnacentral:lncRNA from 1 species
AAAGCAUUUUCCAGAAUGUAGACUGUAUGAGGGCAAGAACCACAUUUGUCUGGUUCACUGCAGAUUCUCCAGUGCCUGGUGGUCUCUAUCUGAAACACAAGCCGGGUGCUGUGGCUCAUACCUGUAGUCCCAGCACUUUGGGAGGCCGAGGUGGAUGGAUCACCUGAGGUCAGGAGUUCGAGACCAGCCUGGCCAAUGUGGCGAAACCCACGUUGUACAAAAAAUACAAAAUUUAGCCAGGUGUGGUGGUGGGCGCCUGUAGUCCCAGCUGCUUGGGAGGCUGAGGCAGGAGAAUUGCUUGAACCCGGGAGGCAGAGGUUGCUGUGAGCUGAGAUCACGCCAUUAUACUCCAGCCUGGGCAACAGAGUCAGACUCUGUCUCAAAAAAAAAAAAAAAAAAUGAAGAAGAAGAUACAGAGUACAGAGUCAUUGAGAGAAUAAGUGGCUCCUCUACAGAAAUGAGGAUGGUGGUUGUGUUCUCGUGGAGUGUUAGGAAUGUCUGUUGUGUGGCCGCCCCAGUGCUUGCCUUCCGGUCUCUCACAUCUGGCUUUGACAGGAAGUGAUGAAGAGGAGAAGGAGAUUUGCUGGAGAUUUUUAAGCAAGUACUGAGGGGAACUUCCAGGUGGAGGUAUCAGCUACGUACCUGGAAAUGUGAGUCUAAAGCGUGGGAGAGUUAUCCGAGCUAAGGAAAACAGACUGGGGGUUGUCCUCAUGCAUCUGUUUUCCUUCAUUACAUGAGUCAUGAAUGCUAAUUGAAGAAGAACUAGAAAAUUCAGAUGUGCGAAAUAAAACAUCACCUGGAAUUCUUCCACCCAUAUUACUGCUGUUAAUAUUUUGUUCUGCUGGUCUCUGCUUGACUCGGAGCAUGACGCCCUCAGGCAGGUAUUCUCCACAUAGUGAAGUCCUAAGCCCUCAUCAUCGCAGCUCACCGGCCGAAAACCCCUCUUGUGACUCCA